UGUUGAAUUCUCUCUUAUUAUAAGUAAUAGGAUAACUAUAUUUGAUAUGUGCGUACCUUGCAAGGUCCUCAUGUCUGUCAGACAGUUUUCACUUGACCUCGACCUCAUUUCAUGGAUCAGUGAACAAGGUUAAGUUUUGGUGGUCAAGUCCAUAUCUCAGAUACUAUAAGCAAUAGGGCUAGUAUAUUCUGUGUAUGGAAGGACUGUAAGGUGUACAUGUCCAACUGGCAGGUGUCAUCUGACCUUGACCCCAUUUUCAUGGUUCAGUGGU
rnacentral:lncRNA from 1 species